GCAAACCCUAACGUCCCUCCUCUUUAUAAAUACACAUUAAAGCCUCCUCAAUAAGAACAUAUGCUCCCCUUGUAGGGAUCAUCUCCUCUCUCUCCCUCAUUCUCUCCUCCAUCAAAACCCUAGCCUCCUCUUUCCUUCUUCUAUCCUCCAAACACCCACAAUCUUCAGUCCUGUUCUCCACAAAAAUCUCUCCUCCUGCUCUUGAUCCCUUUUCCAAGCUAUUGGAAGAAAGUUCUCAAAGUUUCAGGAUGAAGAAUUCAGCGAGAAGCAUUCCUAUGGCUGGCUA
rnacentral:lncRNA from 1 species